CCCUGCCCCAGGCCCGCUGAGGCUUUCAGAUAAUUCUGAAGCCUGUUGGUUUAAGGACCACUAAGCUAAGGUCUGGUGAUGGGAUGGGGGAUAAACUACAUACAAACCACCCUGGAAAGCUGACACUCAUUAAAUCUCCACGUAGAAAAGAACCCACACCCAGAGGAGAGCUGUAUCUUGGCAAUUUUUGCCUUCCUUUUGUGUCUUUAUUAUAUUAAACAUGUCAGUCAAAAAUCCCUGGUUCCCAUGGUGAUGAAUAAUUGGGAUAUAAGCGCACGGUAUGGAUGCAAAUUCCAAACUGCUUGCUGGAGGUUCCUAUUUGCUUGACAUUCAUGGGAAGAGAAGGCUGUUUUCUUCUGCCUGGGUUGCAUUUUUUUCCCCCUCUGCCUAUAAAUUGGUUUAGCUAUAUCCUUUACUUUUCUAGCUCCUCUCUCCCAUAACUCUAGAAUUCAGGUACAUCAGGAGACAUUCGUAAACGCCAUGGCCAGAGAGUCAGAUGUAUAUAUCCUGAGCCCAUGGGGAGGCCAUGUGAUAAUUUAAGCUGAAGCAUUUAUGACGUAGAGAGAGCAUUAAAAGCAGCUGUUUGGAAGGUUGGUGGCCAUGUUUAGAAGGUGUUAGCAGAGGGCUGGAGGCGAGGAGUGAGAAAAGAAAGAGAGGGUAUUUCUGACGGUGCCCUUGGAGUGGACCCCAUUUGUGACAGGUAUGACCCCCAAGCAGAGUGGAUUUUCAAAGGACAGGACAGCCAGAGCGACACACCGGCCCCACUCCCAGUUUUCCUGACACAAAGGCACAGAAGAGGAGAAGGAAAUCAAAUCUCAAGGAGGCUGUGACUUUUCCAAACAAGAGGGCCUCAGAUAGAAAUGGAAAUAGUUAUUCCAGAAACUCUGGACUUGUCUGUGAACGAGGCUAUGAAGCCUGGUCCAAAGCACUCCCCCAGCAGCACCACUGCCGACGGCCACCUAAGGGAUGCAGACAUCUCAGGGUCAUGGAUAGUCACGGAUAUUUGUUCUCGGAAGCUGCGUGAGUGAACGCGGAUUGACACAAGGUGCAGAAAUUAAGAAAACCUGUCUUCUAGAUCAUUCAUAGACAGGAAACCUACCCCAGUGCCACAGGAUCACAGAAACAGAGACGGGCUGUGCCCACUCCCAACCCUCCCAGGCAGAAUGUCCCCUGGCAUCUGAGUCCUCAAGCCAAGGCACAGGUCCUGGAACUUUACCCCCAGAACAAAUGGCGAGAGGCCGAGAAAGCAAGGUGCAAGGGGAGGAGGUCGGAUGGGGAGGUAGGGUGAUGACGCAUCGCUCUGGUUUCCCAGAGCUGACAUCUGUUUUAUUUGCAUCUGGGGCCUGGUCUUGUGGUUCGAGGGCUCUUCAGAAAGCCGACCUUCACUUUCCUCGUGUAAAGGGCGAUGGUGAACUUGCAAGACUGGAAGAAUUCUCUGGGAUUUUACACCUGCUCUCCCCAUCUAAAAGGGCCUGGUGGAGCGGGGGGUCUUGGACCACCAGUGGGUGGGUUUGCUGGGCACAGUGGCGUUCAUACUGUGCCAGCAAACUGUUCCUUGGCCUGGAGGUGUGAAGCUGAUUUCUCAUCCCCUUCCCUUAGGAUUUCCAUCAUACCCACAUCAUACCACGGUAAUGCUGGGUUGUCCCUAUAAGAAGAGUGGAAAGAAAAAUGAUUAUAAAAUACAAAAAAAACCCAAAAGCCCAUGCUAUUUAAAUAGAAGGUUUACUACCUACUAUUUAGAGAUUCAUCUUACCUGCCAUACAAGUUCACCGAUGUCAUAUACAGUUUCAGUAUUUUAUCUUCAUCAUCAGAUCUUAAAGGGAGGGUCAUGAGACCCAAUUUGUCUCAAAAUCAGUUUAAUUGACGGGUUGGAUAAAUACCCUCAAGCCUCUUUUUAGAAGCUUCAUGAUGUUUGACACGCAUGACUUUGAGACUUCGGGGGUCCACUGACUGAGGGGUUCCAAAGGGCGGGGAGUGGGCAGGGGUACCAGCCACGCUCCUGGGUGCAGGACCUGUUGUUACCCCCACACCCUCUGCCUGAGCUUUGGAGGGAGGGAGAUGCCAGGAGGUGGCAUGGGUGUGACUGCCCUUUGGCGCCACAGUGAGCCCACCAGGAAGAAAGGACCCUGGCCUGCCUCCUCUCUCCCUCUCCUGGGAGCGUGGUCUGCUCACCCUGUGGGCCCUGCUCUCUGCUCCAGCAAGACGUCUCCAGAGAUGUCUCUCCUUUCAGCAGAUGGGUAAUUGAUGGGUAGCCACGGGGAGAAAAUGUUCUCUACAGCUGCCCAAGAGGUGACCCUGCGCUGGGGACACCAAGGAGAGAGGCCAGGGUGGCUGGCUGACGGAAGGGAGGGACGCAUUGCUGUGGAGUGACGGCACACACUCCACCUCCUAGAUCCUCAGGACACCUGGGGGAGGCCAGUCGGCUCAGGGGUCCUCUCCUUUGAAAUUUUCUUUUUAGGGCCGCACC